GAUGAAGAACGCAGCGAAAUGCGAUAAGUAAUGUGAAUUGCAGAAUUCAGUGAAUCAUCGAAUCUUUGAACGCACCUUGCGCCCUUUGGCUAUUCCAGAGGGCAUGCCUGUUUGAGUAUCAUGAACACCUCAACUCUCAUGGUUCUGCCAUGAUGAGCUUGGACUUUGGAGGUCUUGCUGGCCCCUGUGGUCAGCUCCUCUCAAAUGGAUCAGCUUGCCAGUGUUUGGUGGCAUCACAGGUGUGAUAACUAUCUACGCUUGUGGUUUUCCACCAGGUAACCUUCAGUGAUGGAGGUUCGCUGGAGCUCAUAAACGUCUCUCCUCAGCGAGGACAGCUUCUUGAAUGUUUGAUCUCAAAUCAGGUAGGGCUACCCGCUGAACUUAAGCAUAUCAAUAAGCGGAGGA
rnacentral:misc_RNA from 1 species